rnacentral:rRNA from 1 species
GUCCACGCCGUAAACGAUGUCAACUAGCUGUUUGUGCUCUAGAAGCGUGAGUAGCGUAGCUAACGCGCUAAGUUGACCGCCUGGGGAGUACGGCCGCAAGGUUAAAACUCAAAUGAAUUGACGGGGGCCCGCACAAGCGGUGGAGCAUGUGGUUUAAUUCGAUGCAACGCGAAGAACCUUACCAUCCCUUGACAUCCAGAGAAUUUUCUAGAGAUAGAUUAGUGCCUUCGGGAACUCUGAGACAGGUGCUGCAUGGCU